rnacentral:lncRNA from 1 species
AUCGAUCUAACCAAUUAAGGAAAGUAUAAAUUUAAAUAUAGAUUUGUUCUUAUCCUUAAGGGCACGUUUGGUUCGCACUAUGGAAGAUUAAUAGGAGUAAAAAGAUAUCCGAGAAUCUUAUUCCUAUUCAUCCUAUUACUAAGAAUGUGGCAUUCAUGUGUUUGGUUCGCACGGUCAUAUUAUUUAGUCAAGUUAUUUAAGUUUACAAAAAAUAUACAAUUAAUUUAUUUAUUUCUUUAAUUAAUUUUAGAUAAUGUUACCAAAUAUUUCAACAUCUUUUAAGAAAAAAUGGAUAGAAAAUAUAGGUUAGAGAGAGAGAGCAUAAUUAAAUAAUAGGAAGAGAAAUAGAGUACUCGAGAUUAGAGGGAGUGAGGGAGUUGAAAUUUUAGAAAAAGAGGGGGAGAGAGAGAAAAAGAGUUGAAGUUUAGAGAGAAAAAGAUAAGUUUAGAGAAAAGAUAUGAGGUUAGAGUGUAAAGGAUAAUAAUACUAACUAGCCGGCGGGUAGGGAGAAAGAAAGAGAUUAGACAUAUUAUGAUUACCCAAUUCAUUAAUAUGAGGAUACCCACUCUCCCGUAAGGGAAUGAGAUUAGUACUUUGGGAUGAAUCUCAUUCCCAAGUGAAUCUAAUAUUACCAACUAGAUUACUUAGUGCCUUUAGCCAAACACCGUCGUAUUUUUUUAUUCCAUUGCAUUACUAGGAAUAUUAAAAAGAUAGCGCGAACCAAGCGCACCCUAAUGGUUAUUAUAUUACUAAAAUAGGAUUAUAUAUUCCUCUAUAUAAUAUACGGGAGUUUUUAGAAAACCCUAGCCGUCAUCUCUCUUCUCCUCUGUCUUCCAUCUUCUAGCAAGAAAGAUGUCUUUUUGCAAAGGAGCUAGCACCCCGGUGAGGACAUCGAUCAAAUCAAGAACCUCGUGUGGAUACCUAUAGAGGCCGGACGCGUGUGCGGCUUCAAGAGAACCCAAUUUCAUGAUCAUCAAAUUGAGGUGAAGAUCUAACAGUAGAAAAGCAAAAGAUUCUAUCUUGCUUUUUUUUUUAAUCUUAAAACAUGAGGGAUCCUAAUUGCGUGGUUUCUGAGAUUGGAUCUCGAGAGUUUUCAAAAUCAAAUUUGUUUGAUUUUUUUUUUUGCGGCGUUUUUACCGUACGCAAUUUUCUCACAAUCUCGU